CAACCUCAACUCAUAUGGGACUACCCCCUGAAUUUAAGCAUAUUAAUUAGGGGAGGAAAAGAAACUAACAAGGAUUUUCUUAGUAGCGGCGAGCGAAAAGAAAUCAGUUCAGCACUAAGUCACUUUGUCUAUAUGGCAAAUGUGAGAUGCAGUGUAUGGAGCGUCAAUAUUCUAGUAUGAGAAAUUAACGAUUUAAGUCCUUCUUAAAUGAGGCCAUUUACCCAUAGAGGGUGCCAGGCCCGUAUAACGUUAAUGAUUACUAGAUGAUGUUUCCAAAGAGUCGUGUUGCUUGAUAGUGCAGCACUAAGUGGGUGGUAAACUCCAUCUAAAACUAAAUAUAACCAUGAGACCGAUAGUAAACAAGUACCGUGAGGGAAAGUUGAAAAGAACUCUGAAUAGAGAGUUAAAUAGUACGUGAAACUGCUUAGAGGUUAAGCCCGAUGAACCUGAAUAUCCGUUAUGGAAAAUUCAUCAUUAAAGUUAUAAUAUUUAAACAAUAUUAUACAAAUAAUGUGCAUUUUUUCCAUAUAAGGACAUUGUAAUCUAUUAACAUAUUAAAUUUAUCAUAAAAUAUGGCUUAUAGUUUAUUCAAAUUAUUAUGCUUGCAUUUUAACAUAGAAUAAAUGUCAUUAAUUUGAUAAAGUGUUGAUAGACUAAUAAGAAUACAGUGCGUUAAUUUUUCGGAAUUAUAUAAUGGCAUAAGUUAUCAUUGAUUUUUGUGUUUAUUAUAAGCACUUGUAUGAUUAACAAUGCGAAAGAUUCAGGAUACCUUCGGGA
rnacentral:ncRNA from 1 species